GUUCCAACAACUCAAACGGAAAACAGCAAUAGCCAUAGUUAGGCCCAUUAUAAAGGCGCGACUUUGAAGCUGUAGACAGCGGGGAAUGAAAUUGUAGACUGAGAAGUACAGACAGAGACAGAGAGAUAGAGAGAGAGAGAGAGAGAAGGAGAAAAGUUUUUCUUACGUGACCACAAUAGAAGCAGCAAACAGAAUCGGCAACAGCAUCAGCGCCGACAGCAGUGAAGAUUUACACGUCUGACCUUGGGGUAGCGAAAAUCUUGCUGCAAUCUUCAAUAAUAAAAUUAAAUAUAAUUGCCCAAAGGGGGAUUGGGGUGGGGCCUAGCGAUAGAAUAGCUCUGGCACUAACAAAAGCAAACUGCCAAUCAAAUUGUCAGUCAAGUGGAAACAGAUCCCGCUGCAAACUGCAACUGCAUCAACACGAGCGCGCCGGGGCGAAGAAAUUUUCGCAACAAAAACAACAAACCCCAACUUCUCUCUCUCCCUCUCUCUCUCUUUCAGAAAACUCAACACCCAACUGCAGCAGAUGCAGCAAAUCCAUUUAAAGUGUAACUCGACUAAGUGCACUCAACAUGAAAGGAAAUGUUUGGCACACAUAACCAUGGAGAUUGCUACAACAUCAAAAAGGGUAAAGGUGCAUCUAAAAAUUGUCUUAAAUAUUUUAAAACACAGAAAAAGGAUACAGGGGUUCAACAUUUGAAGCCGAUCUCUUAACAAUACCUGGAGGAAGUCGUUUGGUGCCCCGAGCAACCACUGUACCUCUACUAAACAAGAUGAGUGCAAAACUUGGCAAAAACAAAUAGUGCAAAGACCUUGAAAUGCUGCUGCUGCUGCUGCUGCUGCUGCUGCUGCUGCUGGGACUGGAAAUAAAACAACAAAAUGCAAAAUCACCCUGGAACAACCAGCAAGCAGUGAGAAAGAGAGGCAGUGAAAUAUAGAAACAGAGAGAGGGGGGUGGAAUGAGCGGAGUUGGCAGCACGCAAACUUAGAACCGAAACGAGCGAAACAAAUCGACAAGCGGAUGGAACAGCCACAAAACAGCAACAAUAGCAGCGAAAAUGGCUGUACAUAAGCAUCAGCAUCAUCAAAUGCAAAAGCAAAAGCAACAAUAUCAAAAAAUAUGGCACUGUUAAAAAUAAACAAAAUAAACACACAAAAUACUUGC
rnacentral:lncRNA from 1 species